CUAAUACUCCCUCCGCCCGAAAAUACUUGUCAUCUAAAUGGACAAAAAAGAUGUAUCUAGAACUAAAAUACAUCUAGAUACAUCUUCUUUUAUUUAUUUUGAUGACACAUCUUCUUUUAUUUAUUUUGAUGACAAGUAUUUCCGGACGGAAGGAGUACUAA
rnacentral:pre_miRNA from 1 species